rnacentral:rRNA from 1 species
UACGUAGGGGGCAAGCGUUGUCCGGAAUCAUUGGGCGUAAAGCGCGUGUAGGCGGCCUUGUAAGUCCGUUCUGAAAGUCCGGGGCUCAACCCCGGGAGGCGGAUGGAUACUGCAAGGCUCGAGUACGGAAGAGGCGAGUGGAAUUCCCGGUGUAGCGGUGAAAUGCGCAGAUAUCGGGAGGAACACCUAUGGCGAAGGCAGCUCGCUGGGACGUUACUGACGCUGAGACGCGAAAGCGUGGGGAGCAAACAGG